rnacentral:rRNA from 1 species
AGUGAACGCUGGCGGUAGGCCUAACACAUGCAAGUCGAACGGCAGCACAGUAAGAGCUUGCUCUUACGGGUGGCGAGUGGCGGACGGGUGAGGAAUACAUCGGAAUCUACUUUUUCGUUGGGGAUAACGUAGGGAAACUUACGCUAAUACCGCAUACGACCUACGGGUGAAAGCAGGGGAUCUUCGGACCUUGCGCGAUUGAAUGAGCCGAUGUCGGAUUAGCUAGUUGGCGGGGUAAAGGCCCACCAAGGCGACGAUCCGUAGCUGGUCUGAGAGGAUGAUCAGCCACACUGGAACUGAGACACGGUCCAGACUCCUACGGGAGGCAGCAGUGGGGAAUAUUGGACAAUGGGCGCAAGAAUGAUCAAGCCAUACCGCGUGGGUGAAGAAGGCCUUCGGGUUGUAAAGCCCUUUUGUUGGGAAAGAAAAGCAGCAGGUUAAUACCCCGCUGUUCUGACGGUACCCAAAGAAUAAGCACCGGCUAACUUCGUG